AAUUUUUUACUAGUUUUGAAAAUGGAAUCUUGCAAAAUCUGCCAUAUUUUGUUUUCAAUCUUACAAUCCCUGCCAUAUUCUACCUCAGCUUACCAAAUCUACCACAUUUCAUCACAUGUUGCAAUUCGAGGACGAAAAUACCCUUACGGUGGGUCAGAGACUCUGACUUAGAUGGUGACAUGACAGCUUUUGGCUGAUGUGAUGAUAAAGGACAAAAAAAUCAUGGUGGAAGCAUAAAGAAUUAGGAGACAGAACAGUGGAGAACAGCUGGCUUCUACUGUUGUUAUUGGGUAUUUAAAAAUGAUUUGUUUAAACAAAUUGAUUAUCCAAAAUUCUGCGGGAGACAACGUAAUAUAUAAUACAUUAGGAGACAUGAUUACCUGCUAGCGGGGGACAACGUAAUAUGUAAUGCAUUAUGGGACAUGAUUACCUAUUAGCGGAGGACAACAUAAUAUAUAAUGCAUUAGAGGACAUGAUUACCUGUUAGAGGAGGACAAUUGGUGAUAGAAUUUUGUUUUUGUCUUUACAUCUUAUAUGCAAUUAUUCUCAUUUAAGAAUUUUGAAUUUUAUUUAGUCUUGUGAAAUAUGAAGAUAAUAAUGCUCAACUAAUCUAUAGAUCAAAAUAGAUGGUGAAAAAUCUAAAUAAAUUUUGAAAUCCUUAAGUGAUAACAAUUGGUGGAUAAGAUGUGAGAUUCAUGAUAAUUUUGAAAGAUGAUGAAAUCAGGGACAAGAUCUAGAUACAAAAGAGAAUUUAUGAUAAAUAAAAUUGGGAGACAAAUUUAAUUGAAAGUUACAUGUAGAGAAUCUGUGCAGGUUGUCAGGGGAAGUGAUAGAGAGACAAAAGCGUUUAGUUGUUUUCAGAAAGAUAAUGAUGUAUGGUUAAAGCGUACAUAUUUCGAAGAUAGAGAGAUAAAAUAUAAAAGAAAUGGUGAGUACAAAAUCGACAUUUCAUUAUAAAAUCUGUUAUGAUGUGUAAGGGAUGGUAGAUUAUGCUAGAUUGCAUAAUGAUUUCAAAAAUUAUGGUAGAUUUUAU
rnacentral:sRNA from 1 species